ACGAACGCUGGCGGCGUGCUUAACACAUGCAAGUCGAACGGAAAGGCCCUGCUUUUGUGGGGUGCUCGAGUGGCGAACGGGUGAGUAACACGUGAGUAACCUGCCCUUGACUUUGGGAUAACUUCAGGAAACUGGGGCUAAUACUGGAUAGGAGCUCCUGCUGCAUGGUGGGGGUUGGAAAGUUUCGGCGGUUGGGGAUGGACUCGCGGCUUAUCAGCUUGUUGGUGGGGUAGUGGCUUACCAAGGCUUUGACGGGUAGCCGGCCUGAGAGGGUGACCGGCCACAUUGGGACUGAGAUACGGCCCAGACUCCUACGGGAGGCAGCAGUGGGGAAUAUUGCACAAUGGGCGGAAGCCUGAUGCAGCAACGCCGCGUGCGGGAUGACGGCCUUCGGGUUGUAAACCGCUUUCGCCUGUGACGAAGCGUGAGUGACGGUAAUGGGUAAAGAAGCACCGGCUAACUACGUG
rnacentral:rRNA from 1 species